GCUUGCAUCCUUGUUGGUUAGCGGCGGACGGGUGAGUAACACGUGGGCAACCUGCCUGUAAGACUGGGAUAACUUCGGGAAACCGGAGCUAAUACCGGAUAAUUCCUUUCCUCACAUGAGGGAAGGCUGAAAGUCGGUUUCGGCUGACACUUACAGAUGGGCCCGCGGCGCAUUAGCUAGUUGGUGAGGUAACGGCUCACCAAGGCGACGAUGCGUAGCCGACCUGAGAGGGUGAUCGGCCACACUGGGACUGAGACACGGCCCAGACUCCUACGGGAGGCAGCAGUAGGGAAUCUUCCGCAAUGGACGAAAGUCUGACGGAGCAACGCCGCGUGAGCGAUGAAGGCCUUCGGGUCGUAAAGCUCUGUUGUUAGGGAAGAACAAGUACCGGAGUAACUGCCGGUACCUUGACGGUACCUAACCAGAAAGCCACGGCUAACUACGUGCCAGCAGCCGCGGUAAUACGUAGGUGGCAAGCGUUGUCCGGAAUUAUUGGGCGUAAAGCGCGCGCAGGCGGUCCUUUAAGUCUGAUGUGAAAGCCCACGGCUCAACCGUGGAGGGUCAUUGGAAACUGGGGGACUUGAGUGCAGAAGAGGAAAGCGGAAUUCCACGUGUAGCGGUGAAAUGCGUAGAGAUGUGGAGGAACACCAGUGGCGAAGGCGGCUUUCUGGUCUGUAACUGACGCUGAGGCGCGAAAGCGUGGGGAGC
rnacentral:rRNA from 1 species